CACCGUCAUUCGCCCUUUGAAAGUGAAAUUCGAAGGAAUAACUAAAGCAUCGACACAUGGGCAUUACUUAUGUGGCAAUGACAGCGCCUUUACGUGGUCCGUCGAGAGUUAUCCUGAGACUGUCAACGGCUCAGAUAAAAUUUACAUCUCUGCUUCCGCUGACCUCCUAGGACCGACCCUUGAGAACCUGGGAAACCUGAUCCGAAUGCCUUAUGGCUGUGGUGAACAAAAUAUGCUGACUUUGCCC